rnacentral:rRNA from 1 species
UAGGGAAUCUUCCACAAUGGGCGCAAGCCUGAUGGAGCAACGCCGCGUGAGUGAAGAAGGGUUUCGGCUCGUAAAGCUCUGUUGUUAAAGAAGAACAUGUGUGAGAGUAACUGUUCAUACGUUGACGGUAUUUAACCAGAAAGUCACGGCUAACUACGUG